rnacentral:rRNA from 1 species
GUUGGCUUAGAAGCAGCCAUCCUUUAAAGAAAGCGUAAUAGCUCACUGGUCAAGUUGUCACGCGCCGAAAAUGUAUCGGGGCUAAACAUAGUACCGAAGCCGCGAACUCCAACAUUGUUGGAGUGGUAGGGGAGCGUUCCAUACACGCUGAAGCUGGACUCGCGAGAGCCAGUGGAGAGUAUGGAAGUGAGAAUGUAGGCAUGAGUAGCAAUAAGAGAUGUGAGAACCAUCUCCACCGUAAACCCAAGGUUUCCUGGUCUACGAAAAUCGGACCAGGGUUAGUCGGUCCUAAGACGAGGCCGAAAGGCGUAGCCGAUGGACAGCUGGUUAAUAUUCCAGCACCACUGUAAAAUUUCGAUGGGGUGACGGAUCUGUGUAGAUCGUGUGGUAUUUUGGUUAUGACCAUGGUUUGGGAGUAGCGUGUCUUUCAGGCAAAUCCGAGAGACAUUAAGCGUGAAACUCGACCCUAGAGAAAGUCCUACGGGAUGGACUCAUGACGAUUGAAUCAGGUUCCCAGAAAAGCCUCUAGAGCCAAUUUUAUAGUGCCCGUACCGUAAACCGACACAGGUGGGUGGGCGUAAGUAUGCCCAGGUGUACGAGAGACCCUUUGCUAAGGAACUCGGCAAAAUAAUAGCCGUAACUUCGGGAUAAGGCUUGGUUCUGGGAGUUGAUCCCAGGACUCGCAGCGAAUGGUGCCCAGUGACUGUUUACCAAAAACACAGCUCCCUGCUAAAGCGCAAGCUGACGUAUAGGGGGUGAUGCCUGGCCAGUGUCCGAACGUUAAGGGGAGGAGUGCAAGCUCUGAACUGAAGCGCGGAUGAACGCCGGCGGUAACUAUAACCGUCCUAAGGUAGCGAAAUUCCUUGUCGGGCAAGUUCCGACCUGCACGAAUGGCAUAACAAUUGGGCGACUGUCUCGGCAAAGGUCUCGGCGAAAUUCCAUGAUGAGUGAAGAUGCUCAUUACCUGCAGUUGGACGAAAAGACCCCGUGAAGCUUUACUACAGCUUGGUAUUGGGUUAGAAGUACUUAUGUUCAGUAUAGGUGGGAGCCUUCGGGCAACAGUGAGAUACCACCCUUAAUUAUUUUUAAUUCUAACUUCAUUCCGUGAAUCCGGAAAAAGGACAGUGCCUGGUAGGUAGUUUGACUGGGGCGGUCGCCUCCCAAAAUGUAACGGAGGCGUUUACUAAGGUUGGCUAGUUCCCGAUGGAAAUGGGAAUGGUCGUGCAAACGCAUAAGCCAGCUUUACUGCAAGACUUACUAGUCGAGCAGUUGCGAAAGCAGAACUUAGUGAUCCGACCAUUCAAUGUAGGAUGGUGGAAGCUCAUCGGAUAAA